rnacentral:lncRNA from 1 species
GACGUUUGAUCAUAUCAACCUUGGAAACACUUCCAACACGUAUCGUCACCUCGCCUUUAGCUAGUCUCCAUUUAUGCCGUAGCUUUCAUUUCGUGUUACUAAUCACUUAGCAACCGAACCGGUAUCCAAUACCCUCUUGCUACUAGGAGUACUAGUAAAAGUACACAUCAACAUCAUGUAUAUCAAAUAUACUUCUUUCGACUUUUGCCAGCCUUCUUAUCUACCAAGUAUCUAGAGUUGCUCCGCCUCAGUGACCGUUCCCCUCAUAGCAGAAGCACUUAGUCCCGGGCUUGGGUUUAAUCUCGGGUCUCUUCAUUAGUGCAGCAACUGCUUUGCCGUUUCACAAAGUAUCCCUUCUAGCCCUUGCCUUUCUCGAAACUUAGUGGUUUUACUAACCAUCAAUUAUUGAUGCUCCUUCUUGAAUUCUACUCUCGCAGUGUCAAACAUCCCGAAUCGCUCAAGGAUCAUUGUAUCUAUCCUUGACAUGUUAUAGUUCAUCACGAAGCUCUCACAGCUUGGUGGCAGUGACUUUGGAGAACCAUCACUAUCUUAUCUAGAAGAUCAACUCCCACUUGAUUCAAGCGAUUGUCGUACUCAGAUAUCUGAGCACACGCUCAACGAUUGAGCUUUUCUCCUUUACUUCAUGGACAAAGAAUCUUGUCGGAGGUCUCAUACCUCUUAACAAGGGCACAAGCAUGAAAUCACAAUUUCAUCUCUUUAGAACAUCUCUUAUGUUCCGUGACGUUUCAAAACGUCUUCGGCGCCUUGCUUCUAAGCCAUUAAGUAUUUUGUACCGAACUAUCGUGUAGUCAUUAGAAACGUGUAUGUCGGAUGUUCACAACAUCUACAGACGACGCUCGAGGUGCAGCACACCGAGUGGUGCAUUAAGGACAUAAGCCUUCUGCGCAGCAACGAGGACAAUCCCCGGUUUUACAGACUCAGUCUCCAAAGUUUGCUACUAUCAACUUUCAACUAAAUUUUCUCUAGGAACAUAUAAAAACAGUAGAGCUAUAGCGCAAGCUACAUCGUAAUUCGCAAAGACCAUUAGACUAUGUUCAUGACAAUUAGUUCAAUUAAUCAUAUUACUUAAGAACUCCCACUCAAAAAGUACAUCUCUCUAGUCAUUUGAGUGGUACAUGAUCCAAAUCCRWCKAUCKCAAGUCCGAUCAUCACGUGAGUCGAGAAUAGUUUCAGUGGUAAGCAUCUCUAUGCCAAUCAUAUCAACU